UCUCAGGGUUCUGAAGGAGCUGGCUGAGGUGGUUGCCGAGCUGCUCUCCAUCAUAUUUGAAAAGU
rnacentral:miRNA from 7 species